ACGUCGUGGGUACCGGAGGCUCCUGUCAGAGGCAAAGUGACACGAAGACAGAUGUGUCGUGGGGGCAUUCAACACCUCCAGCUGCAUCUUCUCCAUUGUCUCUGCUAGAGUUCCCAAGCCCUGUUGACAGACAGCCUCCUGGCCCUUGGAUUUCUCUGGACACAGCCCUGGAUGUCUAGGGAUGCUGUUUGAUUCUCUCAGGCUGAAGUGAGUGAAGACAUUUGACAAGGGAAUUCAAGUGUGCUGGAUCCCAGGACUCUGAGUGUGAUGAACUUUCAAUGUCCUGCAACUGGAUACUGCCUGGGAGCAUUGUGACCUAUCAGUGAUGCCACUCCUGAGCCUCUCAACACCUCCAUGGAAUCUGCACCAAGGCUUAUGCUGGCAGCAGAGGAAGAGGAAUUCCAGAGAGCAUGUGAUGUCCUGGCAAGGAGAGGCAAGCCUUCCUACCUUACCUCACCCAGGUUCUGAAGUGUCGUCCCACUCUGCGAACAUGAGUGCUUCGGGCAGCCCCCAACAGCUACUUUGAACGCAUUCACCCCAGGCAACGGGUGCCUUGCUGACCCCACUACACUGCAGUUCCCCUAUUUGUCCAUUGAGAUUCUCCUUGCCAACUGGGGAGACCUCUGUGCAGAUUGUACGAGAUCAUCUUUGGCACUGAGAAAGGGCUGAGUCUGUCCCCUCAGCUCCUCCUAGCCUCCAGAGCCAGGACCCCUCAAAUUUUUCAGAUGAGGAGGUGCUGGAAAGGAGCCACUCCUCCUGAUCAGGUAAGCCUGUUGAGUUCCCGUGGGGCCCCAGGGACUGAAGGUCAGUGAGGAGCCUGGGCUUGCCCUUCAGAGCCCUCAUGGUGUGUCUUCUGUAGUGACAGCUCAUCUUUCCUGCUCUUACAUGUCAUGGGCCCCUCUUUCAAACCAUGCUCAGUGGCACAGUCAACACAUGCCCAUGGAGUUAGAGGAAAGCAGGUGUGGAUGACAGCAGAGAGUCUGGGCCUGAUCUGUGGAAAGGGCAUGUAUGGAUAUAAGCCUGGCAGAAGAAUGCAUGCUCUGUCCAUGGGCAUGCUGGGCCUCUGGUGCCCAGAAGAAUGCAUGCUCUGUACAUGGGCAUGCUGGGCCUCUGUGCCCAUCAAAAAGAGUGCUCUGUGUGCCUGUCUUCCCACAUACUGUCAUGAGAGAGUGGGUAUCCAGCUCUCCAGAGUCACCCUGUUCCAUCUCUGCUAAGAUGGGACUGUCACCAUGCUGCUAGUAUUGACAUUUGAGAAUUCAGGCUUCCUAGCCCACAUUGGGCUUGGAUGUAGCCUAGACAUUAGAUCAUUGGUUAAUCUUCUAAGACAAUUCUACCACGUGGCUAUGGAAGGUGAGGAGGGUGGACAACCCACUGAAUUAGAGAAGACAUGUUACCUGACUCUAGGACAAAGGCAAUAAAAUCAGGCAAUCCUGCCUGGUCCAUCCUGGAGUCCAGAGAUAGCUGUAGCUAGGAAGUCUAACAGGCUGGUGUGGCUCUCGGGGGCUGACUGCUGGCUCUUGCCCUGCCCAUACUGAAGGCCUGUGUGUGUUUAGGGGAGGUGAGUCAAUAUGCACAGGGUGAAUGAGUAGACAAGAUGGACAUAUUUUCUCCUGCUGGUCAACCUUCCAGGCUCCAGGGACAGGCUGUCAAUGAUGCGAUUAACAAUGGUGCCAAUUCUGUGUAAAUGAGCUGAUGUCUGCCCCGUGGAGCACAGCGUCCUGCUGCCUAGCUGUCAGGAGACCCACAACUCCCAGGCCAGAACUGUAGCUGCCCGGGAAGGUGACCAGUGACUGCAGCCAAACAGCCAGCCCGGGGCCUCAUUUCCAUGCUGUAAUCCCAUAAGCAAAUAGUUUGAUUGUAUUAGUUGAGGGUAAUUUUUCACACUUCACAGUAGCUGCUCAGUUUGCUUCUGGAUUCUGCUGACUCUUCGAAGAAUUUGCACAAUAAAAUAAUGGAAAAGUACAGUAACCAGUGAAGCUAGACCCCAGAUCUCAUUCAAUCAAACCCUUGGAGCAGCAAGUGCUAAUGGGCCUGCUCAACCCUCUUGCCUUCUAUGCUCUGGACUGCAGUUUUUUUCCCUGGUAUGUAUUGUGGGGCUGACUUUUCAACUCACGUGUGCAGCCAUCAAGACAUCCAUGCUCCUUCCAUCCAGCUUUAUUAGCUGGGCCUUCACACCGUGCACACUCCUGAACCUCUAAGUUGUCCACCCUGAUGGGACCUUCCAAAGCGAAGGUGUGGAGGUAGGAAGAAAGUCUUGCAUCCAGAUUCUAUGUCCUUGGGCUGGAAAUGAGCCCUGUGGACAGGCAUGGAGAAGGUUGAAGGCAGCCUUUGUGGACUCCUAGAGCCACUUAAGAUGAGAUGCAGACAGAAGGAAAGAGGGAAGAAGGAAGGAGGGAGGGAGGAAGGAAGGAAAGAAGGAAGGAAGGAAGCAGGCAGGGAGGGAGGCAGGGUGAGAGGGAGAGAAGGAGA